UUUAAAUGUAAAUUUUUGAACUAAUUAGUAAUAGAUAUGAUCUUCAAAUUUAAAGAUUUUGGCGGUAUUUUAGUCUAUUUAGAGGAACCUGUUCUGUAAUUGAUAAUCCACGAUUAACUUUACUUAAUUUUAAAAAUUUGUAUAUCGUUGUUUAUAGAAAAUUUUAUAAGAAAAAUAAUUUUUAAUAAAUUUUAUUAAAUUGUAAAUCAAAUCAAGGUGCAGUUUAUAGUUAAGUUGGAAAUGGGUUACAAUAAAUUUAUUUAUUAUGGAUAUAAAUUUUAAAAAUUUUAUUGAAAGUGGAUUUGAUUGUAAUAUUAUUAAAUUAAAUAAUAUGAUUUUGGCUCUAAAAUAUGU
rnacentral:rRNA from 1 species